AUGCUGUCCGAGAUCGACCUCAGCUUCCCGUCACGACGCCAGAAAGCGUUGUCCUUCUUCUCCACGGCCAGCAGUUCCUCGAAGGCGGUAUCGCGCACCCCUUUGGCGAAGGCUCCUUCACGGAUUCUCUUCUCCGCUUCAUCGUUGCUCUCCUCCAUCUGCCACGACGAAAGGUUUGGUGUCAAAACACCUGGCAGUUCAUAUCACGGGGCAAAGGUGCUUGCUUGUGAGCAGAACAGAAGCGCGUUACCAGUUUGUAGCACGAUGACAGCUGAAGCUGCUCAUGGAGAUUAUGGUAAAUGCUGGCAUCUUUCUUUAGUCUUUCAUAUUCAAAUUCCAACUUAUCCACCUACAGCAAUGCCCAAGGGUAUAAAAAAGGCUGAAGUCGGCACAACAUUGCAUCUUCGAAUGUUAACAGCAUUUCUUAGUUGA
rnacentral:rRNA from 1 species